GAGAUCUGAGGACAGAGAGAGAGAGAGAACCGCAGAAUGAGAAACAGUUAAGAGCCUUCCAAAGAUCAGCUUUGCCAAAGAGGAUUUCGUAAUAAUAACCAUCCUGGGGCGCAUUCUCAAGUUACAAUUAUGCUGCUGAAGGAGUUACAAAAAACACACUGAUUUCAGAAUUUGUAAAGUUCAUUUCAACCAGCAUCUGCUAUCUACAACUUGUCUGUGCAGUUACUAGGGUGUUCUGGUUGGUUGCUAGGUUGUUGUAGGUAGUUGCUAGGCUGUUUUGAGUGGUUGUUUAUUCUUGGUUGUUGCUAGGGUGUUCUGGUUGGUUGCUAGGUUGUUGUAGGUAGUUGAUAGGCUGUUUUGAGUGGUUGUUUAUUCUUGGUUGUUGCUAGGGUGUUCUGGUUGGUUGCUAGGUUGUUGUAGGUAGUUGCUAGGCUGUUUUGAGUGGUUGUUUAUUCUUGGUUGUUGCUAGGGUGUUCUGGUUGGUUGCUAGGUUGUUUUAGGUAGUUGCUAGGCUGUUUUGAGUGGUUGUUUAUUCUUGGUUGUUGCUAGGGUGUUCUGGUUGGUUGCUAGGUUGUUUUAGGUAGUUGCUAGGCUGUUUUGAGUGGUUGUUUAUUCUUGGUUGUUGCUAGGGUGUUCUGGUUGGUUGCUAGGUUGUUGUUGGUAGUUGUUAGGCUGUUUUGAGUGGUUGUUUAUUCUUUGUUGUUGCUAGGGUGUACUGGUUGGUUGCUAGGUUGUUUUAGGUAGUUGCUAGGCUGUUUUGAGUGGUUGUUUAUUCUUGGUUGUUGCUAGGGUGUUCUGGUUGGUUGCUAGGUUGUUGUAGGUAGUUUCUAGGCUGUUUUGAGUGGUUGUUUAUUCUUGGUUGUUGCUAGGGUGUUCUGGUUGGUUGCUAGGUUGUUGUUGGUAGUUGUUAGGCUGUUUUGAGUGGUUGUUUAUUCUUUGUUGUUGCUAGGGUGUACUGGUUGGUUGCUAGGUUGUUUUAGGUAGUUGCUAGGCUGUUUUGAGUGGUUGUUUAUUCUUGGUUGUUGCUAGGGUGUUCUGGUUGGUUGCUAGGUUGUUGUAGGUAGUUUCUAGGCUGUUUUGAGUGGUUGUUUAUUCUUGGUUGUUGCUAGGGUGUUCUGGUUGGUUGCUAGGUUGUUUUAGGUAGUUGCUAGGCUGUUUUGAGUGGUUGUUUAUUCUUGGUUGUUGCUAGGGUGUUCUGGUUGGUUGCUAGGUUGUUGUUGGUAGUUGCUACGCUGUUAUGAGUGGUUGGUGAUCAUCAGUCUGACACGUGGUGUAGGUUAUUACUACUACUAGGGCAUUCCAAGUGCUUGCUAAGUUGUUUUGGGUGGUUAGUAAGUUGUGCUUGGGGGUUGCUAGGGUGUUUUAAGUGGUUGCUUAGCUGUUCUGGGUGGUUGCUAGGUUGUUCUAAGUGGUUGUUAGGUUGGUUUUGUGGUUCCUAUGCUGUUAUGUGUACUAGGUUUUACUAAGGAAUUGUUAAGUUGUACUUGGUGGUUGGCAUGAUUUUUUUGGGCAAUUGCUAUGAUGGUCUAAGUGUUUCUAGGGUAUUCUAGAUGGUUGCUAGAGUAUUCCAAAUGGUUGCUAUGGUAUUCUAGAUGGUUGCUAGGGUGUUUUAAGCAAGAAGAUUGUUCAGUGUGGCUACUAGUUGGUUGCAUACUUGCCUCAUCUUUUUGAUAUUUGUUUAUCUCCAUCAAUUUAAAUUUUUUUUUAAUCAGGUUUAUUCUUGAAGUUUGAUGACUUAUAAAAGUGACAGCAUGCCUUUUCUCAACAAGACCGUAAUUUGAAGUAUAAUUUACAAUACAUAAACAAUUAAUAAUCAGAUGUAAUGAUUUAAUCAAUAGUAAUAGAGACAACUGGCUAAGCAAGGUAAAAGUAAAAAGGCAACAGGAUAGAUAAGAGUUGACACAUCACAACCACUAAUAUGCCUGAAGUUGUAGUAUACGCACUACACUGAUGCCUGCAGCACUGAGUGUUUGACUCGUGUGUCAUAGUGUGUGUGGUAACAGGACUCUGCUUGCACACAGCAGAAACAUGACCCACUUUAGACCGACAGAGUCAGUGUAAAUGCUCUUAUCUGUUACCUAACCUGCAGAUAAGCCUGUUAAACUUUCACCACAGCGGCCCACCGAGACACCAUUAACCCUCUAACCAGACAGAAGCUAUUAAGGUAGGAAGAUUUCCCACAAUCCUCCUCUAAUGUCCAUGUGUGGUCUAUUACACUAUUUAGGGGUGUGCGAUAUUUAUAUUCUAUGAUAAUUUGCAAUUGUUGUUUUAACAAAGUGCGAGCUGACAGUAUGUUACUCACUUUGCAAAAAACUAAAGUCCAAAAGCAUUAACUGUGUGAAGAAGCCUGUUAGAAUGCCCUUAUAAUUUAAGUUAUGAACCUAAAAAAUACUCCUAUAUAUAUGUGGGAAUAUAUGAUAUGUUAUGAUAUUGUACUUAAAAAUUGUUUUUUCAGAAUAUCAGUGUGCAAGGAUGACCACAAAUGUGAUUGAUUCUGUACAACCGUUUAACGAACAAGAAGUUAAUAUUGAGCAGCUUACAUUAUAACGUGAACAAUGUCUGUUUGUUUCUGUUUUGCCAAUGAAAAUACAAUUACAAACAAAGCUGAAGUAGAACAUUUGUGCAUCUCAGAGCAACACUGUGAUGUUUUGUUCCUGAAUGAAUCUGUUUUUGAACUAAUAAUUUCAUUCAAUUAUCAAUUCAUGAAGAGAGUCACUUGCUUUGUUUCUAAAUGAAUCAGCCAUUUCGAACAAAUCAUUUAAAUUUAAUGAGUCAAUUAAUCACUCACUAAAACAGGUGCUUUGUCUCAAAUUGAACACUUCCCUACUAUAUUGUUUGUGAAAAAUAGUUUGCCAAAAGAAUUUACAGUAUUCAUAUUUAGAUAUUGUCAAUAUUGACCUAACACUGAUGUGUGUGUGUGUGUGUGUGUGUGUGUGUGUUCACCUCACAUGCCCUCUCUGUGGUAGAUGACAUUUAGCACUCCCAGCUCAAUGGCAUGUGUAAAAUCUCAGUCAAGAAUUCAACUCGGCUCUUCAACUCACAUAGUGACCUUUAUGGCAGUCAUGUGUACAGGCUGAGGAGUUGUUAUGGCAUGAAUCGAGCUGUGGAUGCGAUUGCGUUUGUCAUGCUAACACCUCUAACCAGUCUGAAAACAGCACUGCAGCGUUCAGUAUUUUAGCCUUUACUGUAAUCUGCAGGCCACGGCACGAUGAACACAGGCAUGACUGGACCAGACGAUUUUAAGAAAACCGCUGAGUUUGAUGUUGUUUGAAACUCCCAAAUGUGUGUGUGUCUGUGUGCGCCCUGCUGAUCUCUUUUCCUCCAUGUCGAGCAUUGUUUACCGUGCUGUGCAGCGCUUUGCAGAGCGAGAGGAAAUCACAAUGACUGGGGUUUCAAAACACUCUGCAGCUGUUGAGAAAGCCUUGAGAGGUUUUUUUUCUCCUUCCUCUUGCUCUCUCACUGUCUUUUCUUUCCCUCUCUCUUGUUACUCUCUUAUUGCUCUCUCUUUCUCAUUCCCUUGCAGUCUCCCCCAACACACACACACACACACUUCUUCUCCCUCAUUUCUCUUUCUCUUGACAAAUGCAGUUUUCUGAGGCAACUCAAUCUAACAUGACUUGCAGCAUAUGUGGGUAAACAGGUGUCACAAAUGCAAUGGGAAUUUAAAUGUUUGGAGAUUUCUAAUUAAGAUUAUAUUAUGUAAUUACAAUAGAUAAAUAGCAAACAAUUCCAAAUGUAAAUUAAUAAUGUAGUAAUAUAAUAAAUUGCAUGCCUUUUUAUGAGCUUAGACAGAAACUACAGGGAAUACUUUUAAAGGAUGAAUUUGUCACAAUGCACAACCCUUUAAAUGAAAAGAAUAAAGAGUUCAAAAAGUCUAAAGAUGUUUUUUAGUCCAGUCCAGUGAUUUUUCCCAUGGUGAGUAUAAUGUGUAAAGUGAAGUGGAGCAGAGGGCCAUGCAGUGUCCCGCCCACACAUCUCAUGAUAUGAACCUGGGUGUGUCUGGACAAGAGAAGGAAUGAGCAGAGAUGUGAGAGAGCCGGAGCGUGGAGGAGUGUACUCAGCUCACACACUUGCAUCUGAGCAAGACGUUCAGCUUACUGUUACACUGCUUUCCAACAAAAUAAGUGUAAAAUGUCAUUUUCAAAGUACGUUCAAUGCCACCCUUGUUGCACAUAUAUAGUAUGCUUGUAUGCAUUUAUGUAGAUUAAUUAGCAUAUGCAUAUAAAUCCAUUGCAUUAUUUGAUUUUAUUUAAAUAAAGAUUUUUAAAAGGCAUUUA